GCGCGCGCACUUCAGGCCUUGCGGGCAUGUCCAGCUCUUCUGUGGCUUCCAGCAGGCGAGGCCAAACAGGAUCUUUCUCACUUCCCCACAUCUCCUGGAUCCUGGAGCUGAUGCAGUCAGGUCCCGUGCUCACCGGGGGAACCGGCGAGCCUCUCCAAAGUAUUAAAGGACACUUCCGGAAGAGCCUUUGGCCUGUGGUCAGCCCGCAGACAUCGGUGGUCUCUGUACCUGUAGGAGCCCCAUGAGGGUCCAGGUGUGGGAGACAGUCCUGGGACAGGGCUUCUGCGGCCGAGGUUCCUGACCAAGCUGGUGCUUCUGCGUGUGUUCCUGCAUGACUUGACUGCAGUUGACAGCAGAUAACUGAAAGCUCGGAAAGCGAAACCGUGGAUAAGCAGGGGAACUGUGGCAUCCCAUUUAAAAUUGCUUCUGAAGAGAAGCAUGAGGUUACAUCUGUAAUCUCCCUGCAGCAGAGUCAACUGCAUAAGAAACCAAAAGACACACCUGCUCCAUGCCAGCCUAAGCCACCACAUAAAAAGUCAGACCAUCUGCUGGAAGAACCACAUGGAGAGGCCCUGAGUCAACAUGGAGAGGAAGAAGGACUUGACUGAAUCCAGCCUUCCAGCUGUCCCUACCAAGGUGCCAGGCAUGAGAAUGAAGCUGUCUUGAACUCUGAAGACCAGCUUAGCCACCAGGUAAAUGCCACUAAGUGACCUCACUCAAUGUCAUGUGGGACGGAAGAAUCACCCCGCCAAACCCUUCCUGGAUCCCUGACCCAGAAAUUUGUCAGAUGUAAUGGUUGUGAAAAGCCAUUCAAUUUGGGGGCAGUUUGUAUGCAGCAUAGCUAGCUGGUAUGAUACAACAGCCUGCAAUUCAGGCAGCAGCAGCACUAACAACG
rnacentral:lncRNA from 10 species